rnacentral:tRNA from 1 species
ACAGAGUUGGCAGAAUUAUGUGAAUAAUUUAGGUUUAUUUUAUAAGAUUUAUAAGUCUUACUUUGUA